GCUUAACACAUGCAAGUCGAACGGAAAGGCCCAAGCUUGCUUGGGUACUCGAGUGGCGAACGGGUGAGUAACACGUGGGUGAUCUGCCCUGCACUUCGGGAUAAGCCUGGGAAACUGGGUCUAAUACCGGAUAGGACGAUKGUUUGGAUGCCRUUGUGGAAAGUUUUUUCGGUGUGGGAUGAGCUCGCGGCCUAUCAGCUUGUUGGUGGGGUAAUGGCCUACCAAGGCGUCGACGGGUAGCCGGCCUGAGAGGGUGUACGGCCACAUUGGGACUGAGAUACGGCCCAGACUCCUACGGGAGGCAGCAGUGGGGAAUAUUGCACAAUGGGCGCAAGCCUGAUGCAGCGACGCCGCGUGGGGGAUGACGGCCUUCGGGUUGUAAACUCCUUUCGCUAGGGACGAAGCUUAUUUUGUGACGGUACCUGGAGAAGAAGCACCGGCUAWCUACGUGCCAGCAGCCGCGGUAAUACGUAGGGUGCGAGCGUUGUCCGGAAUUASUGGGCGUAAAGAGCUCGUAGGKGGUKUGUCGCGUCGUUUGUGUAAGCCCGCAGCUUAUCUGCGGGACUGCAGGCGAUACGGGCAUAUCUUGAGYGCUGUAGGGGAGACUGGAAUUCCUGGUGUCGC
rnacentral:rRNA from 1 species